UGGGGAAUAUUGCACAAUGGGCGAAAGCCUGAUGCAGCAACGCCGCGUGAGUGAUGAAGGCCUUCGGGUUGUAAAGCUCUGUCUUUUGGGACGAUAAUGACGGUACCAAAGGAGGAAGCCACGGCUAACUACGUGCCAGCAGCCGCGGUAAUACGUAGGUGGCAAGCGUUGUCCGGAUUUACUGGGCGUAAAGGAUGCGUAGGCGGAUUUUUAAGUGAGAUGUGAAAACCCUAAGCUUAACUUGGGGACUGCAUUUCAUACUGGAAAUCUAGAGUGCGGGAGAGGAGAAUGGAAUUCCUAGUGUAGCGGUGAAAUGCGUAGAGAUUAGGAAGAACACCAGUGGCGAAGGCGAUUCUCUGGACCGUAACUGACGCUGAGGCAUGAAAGCGUGGGUAGCAAACAGGAUUAGAUACCCUGGUAGUCCACGCCGUAAACGAUGAGUACUAGGUGUAGGAGGUAUCGACCCCUUCUGUGCCGCAGUUAAACACAAUAAGUACUCCGCCUGGGAAGUACGAUCGC
rnacentral:rRNA from 1 species